GCGCCCGAAAACGAAGUUAAAGCUGUAAAAAUAAUUGGUUAUGGUUCAUUUUCGUUCUGCUGCGUUGCAACAAAAUGCGCCAUUUUUACAGCUCCGAAGGCAGAGGUCACAGGUUCGAAUCCUGUCGGGUGCGCCA
rnacentral:tRNA from 2 species